UGCCCGCCCACCAACACGCUUCAUUCACACGAAUACAUGACACACGUAAUCCUCGCGUGUUGGUGGGCGGGGAGU